rnacentral:rRNA from 1 species
UGGGGAAUAUUGCACAAUGGGCGAAAGCCUGAUGCAGCCAUACCGCGUGGGUGAAGAAGGCCUUAGGGUUGUAAAGCCCUUUCAGUUGGGAAGAAAAGGUCGGGGAUAAUACCCCCGGUUCUUGACGGUACCUACAGAAGAAGCACCGGCUAACUCAGUGCCAGCAGCCGCGGUAAUACUGAGGGUGCAAGCGUUAAUCGGAAUUACUGGGCGUAAAGCGCGCGUAGGCGGUCUGGUCAGUCAGAUGUGAAAGCCCCGGGCUUAACCUGGGAACUGCAUUUGAAACUGCCAGACUAGAGUGUGGUAGAGGGAAGUGGAAUUCCGCGUGGAGCGGUGAAAUGCGUAGAGAUGCGGAGGAACACCAGUGGCGAAGGCGACUUCCUGGACCAACACUGACGCUCAGGUGCGAAAGCGUGGGGAGCAAACAGG